rnacentral:lncRNA from 1 species
GGAUUCCAAGCUUAGAGAGUGACAUCAGCCUAAGCCAGGCCAACAGCUCAAUAUUCUGGCAUCUUUUUGGAAAUUCUUUUGUCAUUCCCAAACCCACCCUGACACUUGAGAUUCAAUGCUCCCUGUGACUCCCCAGUACUAAAGAAGUGCCAAGCUCAGAUGGAUUCAUCCCAGUGUGAGAUUUUACAGUCACUCAAGAACACACUGCUUCUUUUUUCUUUUUGGAGACAAGGCCUCAUUCAGUCACCCAGGCUGGAAUCCAGUGGUGCGAUCACGGCUCACUGCAGCCUUGACCUUCCAGGCUCAAGCUGAUCCUCCCACCUCAGCCUCCUGAAUAGCUUGGACUACAGGCGUGUGCCACCACACCUGGCUAAUUUUUUUAUUUUUCUGUAAAAACAGGGGUCUUAGUAUGUUGCCCAGGCUGGUCUUGAACUCCUGGGCUCAAGUGAUCCUCCCACCUUGGCCUCCCACUGCUUCUUUUAGUGUCUCGGGAUAAUUGACUGUGGAUUUCCCCCCACACUGCUGAGCCUUCUUGUUUCCAUUGCUUCUUCAUCAGACGUUCUCCAGUGGGGCUCCCACACAGUAGUUUAAUGAACAGCCUUUAAUACUAUACCCCACAGAACUGCAAAGACAUGAGGCUGUGUGGUAAAAACUGGUACUUCAACACAUUUUACUUAGGCUCAGAAAAUCUGUUAAAUGUUAGAUUCUUUUAACAAAACCCAUGGCAGUUUCUCCCCUCCCCACAUCCAUACAGUUGUCAUCCUGGAAAUUCUUUUCACAGAUCACCAGGAUACCAUAAGACUCCCCAGGUUCACCUUGAUGUUCACCAAAGCAAGUCAUUAAUGAUGUACUCAGCGGCAGGUGUCAGUGCUGGGUUUUGGCUAAUGUUUUUAAUCUUUCCUGUAAGACAAAUGUGUUUUUAAACUUGUGUUUUACCCGCCCCCACUCCCCGCCCCUCCCCUAGGCUGUCUAGGGUUGCUCCUUAAUGUUCAAAAUAAUUCCAUGCUUAUGCAAAUAACAGAAAACUCAUAGAUCUCCCAAAAAGGGUUUCUUAGGGCCCAGUGCAGCGGCUCACGCCUGUAAUUCCAGCACUUUGGGAGGCUGAGGCAGGCAGAUCACUUGAGGCCAGGAGUUCCAGACCAGCCUGAACAACAUGAUGAAACCCUGUCCCCACUAAAAAUACAAAACUUAGCUGGGCAUGGUGGCGGACGCAUGUAAUCCCAGCUACUUAGGAGGCUGAGGUGGGAGAACUGCUUGAACCCGGGAGGCGGGGAGGUUGCAGGGAGCCGAGAUUAUGCCACUGCACUCCAGCGUGGGUGACAGAGCAAGACUCCGUCUCAAGGAAAAAAAAAAAUUCCUAUCACUCAAGACAGCCCAUAAUCUUGAAUAUCAUGAAGCCCCUGCCAUUUCCUUCUUCUCUUCCUAAGUGAAUUGCUGGAAGACUCAAAUUUUAAUGAAACUAAAAAGCAUGAAAACUGUGGGAGGUGUAGAAAUAAAUACUUGGUCCUACCUGAAACCCACAAAAGUUCCAGAAGGGAGGCAGCACCCAAGGGUGUGCACAGGACAUUGUAGGAGAAGGACUGACCUCAAGAUCCAGAAUGAUUUGCUAAAUCUCCCACAUCUGUGUCUUCAAUAGCACAGAAAUGUUUCUAAUAACUUGGUUCACAACAAGAACCAAACGUUUCCUCAAGUCUUGCCACGAAUAUUUUCGAAAACAACGAUGGCCACAUUAAUAGAAAUCAGACCUGGAAAUACAUACCCAGGUUGUUAUAAGGAUAUCCAGAUUAGAGAGUUUAAGAAAGUUCAGACCCUUAAGCAAAGUGUCCUGUGUGAUAUUAGGAAUUGGCAAUUGAGUCCCACAGCCUACGAGUCUUGUGUUGAAACUCUCCAUCCUAGAGGCGGUUUUCAGCCUCUGGGUGGAAAUCUGUGCCUAUCACUGUCUCCCCAGCCCUCCUUCUCCACUGAUGUGGGUGGACACACAGACAUACAUAUUGGCCAGCCAGUUAGAUUUUGGCCAACUUUUUAAAUGUUAAUUAUAAAACGUUUAUUAUAAAACCUUUAAAAAUCAGGUUUUAGGCCAGGCACGGUGGCUCACGCCUGUAAUCCCAGCACUUUGGGAGGCCGAGGUGGGCGGAUCACGAGGUCAGGAGAUUGAGACCAUCCUGGCUAACAGGGUGAAACCCUGUCUCUACUAAAAAUACAAAAAAUUAGCCAGGCGUGGUGGUGAGCACCUGUAGUCCCAGCUACUUGGGAGGCUGAGACAGGAGAAUGGCAUGAACCUGGGAGGCAGAGCUUGCAGUGAGCGGAGAUGGCGCCACUGCACUCCAUCCAGCCUGGGCGACAGAGCGAGACUCCGUCUCAAAAAAAAUAAAAAUAAAAAAAUCAGGUUUUAAAAUGGCAUAAAAUAGAUGGAAUAAAAGUGUUUUAUUUCAUCAUUUAUUUUGCACCCUUUUAAUAGUUCUAUAUUAUUGCAUUCUAUGUAUGGAUGUACCACAGCUUACUUAACCAAACCAUCAUUGUCAAACACACAUCUUUUACACAAUUUUACAAGGUGCUAUGCUAAGUGUAAAUUUUUACACAUAUCUAUGACAGUUUUGUGAGAUAAGCAGACCUACUACAUCAAAGAACACAAAGGUUUCAGGACGUUUGAAAUUUAUUUGUAAAUUAGCCACCACUUAUGUUUUACAUUCCCAGCAACAAUAUGUGAUUUCUCACUCUUCCAAACACUAAUCACUUUUUAAAUUUUACCACCUUGUUAGGUUAAAAACAACACCUUGUUUGGAUUUGUAGUGUGUUUCAUUAUUAGGGAGAUUGAACCUCUUGUCAUUUGGUUAGUUGGUUGCUUCAGUCAAUAAUAAGAUAUUUAUUGAGUGCCUAUUAUGUUACCAGUUCUAAACUGGGGAAGACAAAUGGUUUGCAGAUCAUGUAAAGAACAAUAAAAUACCAGGAUAUAUAACAAGAAGAAAACAAGACUUAGAAAGGACAAUUGUUUUAAGAGCUGAGCUCUAGAAAGGAAGUUAGACUGAUGCAUUUUUUUCUCCUUAUAAUCUUUUGUAUUUUUGUUGUUGUUGUUAUUUUGUCUUGCCUUUGUUUUUUGUUGUUUGAAACAGAGUCUCUCUCUGUCGCCCAGGCUGGAGUGCAGUGACACGAUCUCAGCUCACUGCAACCUCUGCCUCCUGGAUUCAAGCAAUUCUCCUGCCUCAGCCUCCCAAGUAGUUGGGAUUACAGGCAUGGCCAAUACUCCUGGCUAAUUUUUGUAUUUUUUGUAGAAAUGGGGUUUCGCCAUGUUGUCCAGGCUGGUCUCAAACUCCUGGCCUCAAGUGCUCAAGUGAUCCUCCAGCCUUGGCCUCCCAAAGUGCUGAGAUUACAGGUAUUAGCCACCAUGCCUGGCCAAUCUACUCUGUUUUUAAACUUGUUUUGUAUAUACACUAUACACCAAAAAACACAUACAUAUGUGCAUCUUAAAGAAUUAUAGAAAUUAAAAAAUGAAAUUAAAGAAAUGAAACAUAAACCCAUGUGCCAGUCUCCCAGCUUAAGAAAGAAAGGUAACUGAUUAUUCUGCAGCCUUAUAAAUACCUCCACCCAGAAACAGGUUCUCCUCUUUUUUUCUAAGAGGUAAGUGCUGAGCUUUAUAUAAACCCCCUCCUGAAUUUUCUUUAGAGAUUUUAACAUAUGUGAACAUAUCUCUGAUUAACAUAUUGUUGAGUUUGGCCUGUUGUUGAAUCAUAUAUAAGUUCCGCAAUUUAGGGCUUUUUUUGUUUUGCUUGGUUCUCUUUUUUCAUACACUUUGUUCUUGACCUGUAUCGAGUAUAGGUUUUUCAUUUUCAGUGAUAUAAAGUCUACCAUUACUUAGUAUACAUCAAUAUACUUAUCCAUCCUGCCAUCACUGGACAUUUGAGUUCAGGUUGUUUUCUUUUUAGAAUUAUCACAAGCAAUAUUGCUAUGAAGAAUCUUAUGC